rnacentral:lncRNA from 1 species
AAAAAUCCAUUAAUGUUGGGAAAAUUAUCCUCAAGGAGAUUCAUGAUUGUGCUAAAAUGAAGGCAAGAAGUGCUUAUUUCCCAUCAUUAAUCACUUCACUUUGCUUAAGGGCCUGUGUUAAAACACAAGCAAAUCUGAAGGGGCAGUAUGUUCAAGGGUGUAUUACAAGUCAUGAUCUUGAAAGGUUGGUAGAAAGAGUGCAUGAGUUAAACCAAGGUGAGC